UAUAAUGAACCAGGCUGUUGCCAUGGUGACGGUGGUGGUGGGCAUGAUACAGAUGCGGGAGGUGGAGUUUGUGCCCGAUAGAGACAUGCAGCUGGACAAAUUGUGUUGGUCAUUGGUCAGACUGGAGUUUACAUGUGUACCUCCUUCACCAUCAUUGGUGGACACUUCACCAUGAGUGAUGCUUGAGCUGUCACGGUGCUGCUGCUGCUGUCUGCCAUCAUCACCCUGACACAGACCACCCUGCAGACCACCUUCAUCCUGGGUGCCACACGUCACUGCUGCUACAACUCAGAGCAACUGGAGCGCAAGCCAGGAAGGGAGAUGUGUUGCCACGGUGACGGUGGUGGUGGGCAUGACACAGAUGCGGGAGGUGGAGUUUGUGCCCGAUGGAGACAUGCAGCUGGACAAAUUGUGUUGGUCAUUGGUCAGACUGGAGUUUACAUGUGUACCUCCUUCACCAUCAUUGGUGGACACUUCACCUUGAGUGAUGCUUGAGCUGUCAUGGUGCUGCUGCUGUUGUCUGCCAUCAUCCCCCUGACACAGACCACCCUGCAGACCACCUUCAUCCUGGGUGCCACACGUCACUGCUGCUACAACUCAGAGCAACUGGAGCGCAAGCCAGGAAGGGAGAUGGUAACUUCUCACUUAAUUUGUUGUUUAUUUCAGGGCCUAAUGACAGACACAUAAUGGAAUGAGUAUUUGUGAAUGUUUGUUUAUAUCUAGAUACAGCAUUCACAUAUCUUUUAAGUGCCACCUUCCAAAAGCAAUGUCAGCCAGAAAAGAUAACUGAUGAAUCUAAUUACAUUUCAAGUCAAAAAGUUUUCCUUUAACCACUUUGCUCCAGAUGCUUAAAAACAUGCGUUGCUCACAUACAUGGCGUCACGUAGGCUCGUGAGUGGUAACUUAUCUAAUUUCUAAUAAUUUCUAAUAUAAUUUGUGUGUGUGUGUGUGUGUGUGUGUGUGUGUGUGUGUGUGUGUGUGUGUGUGUGUGUGUUUUAUGUAUGAGUGACACUGGCCAAGGGCAACAAAAAUCCAAUAAAAAAAAUAUGCCCACUGAAAUGGCAGUCCCAUAAAAAGGGUCAAAGCAGUGGUCAAAAGUUGAUGAAUAAGUGUCUUGAAACCUCCCUCUUGAAGGAAUUCAAGUCAUAGGAAGGUGGAAAUACAGAAGCAGGCAGGGAGUUCCAGAGUUUACCAGAGAAAGGGAUGAAUGAUUGAGAAUACUUGUUAACUCUUGCUUUAGAGAAGUGGACAGAAUAGGGGUGAGAGAAAGAAGAAAAUCUUGUGCAGUGAGGCCAUGGAAGGAGGGGAGGCAUGCAGUUAGCAAGAUCAGAAGAGCAGUUAGCAUGAAAAUAGCGGUAGAAGACAGCUAGAUAUGCAACAUUGCGGCGGUGAGAGAGAGGCUGAAGACAGUCAGUUAUGUUUGUGUGUGUGUGUGUGUGUGUGUGUGUGUGUGUGUGUGUGUGUGUGUGUGUGUGUGUGUGUGUGUGUGUGUGUGUGUGCGCUGAUGCAGCUGAGAAGGUUGCCUUAUGAUAAUUAUUGACAAAUGAAGGUAAUAGAUGCGCAUGUCAUUACUACUUUUUAAAUGUGUGUGUAUGUGUGUGUGUUAUGUACACACACACACACACACACACACACACACACACACACACACACACACACACACACACACACACACACACACACACACACAAAGAGAAGUAAUAGACACGCAUCCUUUACCUUCAUUCAUCAAUAAUUGUCAUAAGACGACCUUCCCAGCUGCAUCAUUACACACACACACACACACACACACACACACACACACACACACACACACACACUUACACACCACGUAGUGUAGUGGUUAGCACGCUCGGCUCACAACCAAGAAGGCCCAGGUUCGAAUCCCGGGCACGGUGAGGCAGAUGGACAAGCCUCUUAAUGUGUAGCCCCAGUUCACCUAGCUGCAACGAGGUACAGGAUGUAACCCGAGGUGAUGUGGCUUCGCUGCCCCGGUGUGUGGUGUGUCAUUGGCCUCAGUCCUACCCAAAGAUCAGUCACCAUGAGCUCUGAGCUCUUACACACACACACACACACACACACACACACACACACACACACACACACACACACACACACACACACACACACACACACACACACACACACACACACAGAGAGAGAGAGAGAGAGAGCAAAAUGGCAAUGAAUGAAACAGGGAGGAGGGGGAACUGUGUGUGAAUGAAAACAUCAUCUACGUGAAACAUUUGAUUGAUUAUAAAGCACAUGUGCAUCAUAUAUAGUCAUGAAUGUGGAGGAACAGCAGAGUGAGUGAUCAACCACAGAAAGGAGAGAGUCGGACAUGCGGAGAGAAUGGAAGGGGAACAAUUUGAGAAGAUAAGCAUGCAAAUACAUAAAUAUAAGGUGGAAUAGCAGUGUUUGGUGGGAAGAUGAAAGAGAGAUGCCUGUUUAUGAAGCAAAAUGGUUGUGCAAGAGAGGAAAGAUUGGAAAACCAUUCCCACCAAAGCCAACAGACCUUACACCAUAUUUUUACAAACCACAGCAUCUCUAUUCAUCCAUUCUGUGUGUCUUCUAUUUUUUUCUCCAUGCUUACUCUGUUGUGGGUCUCUGGACUGGAGUACAUCAGAGAAAGUUGACACAGACUUGUAUAUAAGAGGAUGUUGUCUGUAACUAAUGCUAUGGGGACAUAUUGCAAGUCUGUGGGAUGUAGUGAAUGAAUAAGUGUGUCCUCUAUAGCAUACUUAAAAACCACACACACACACACACACACACACACACACACACACACACACACACACACACACACACACACACACACACACACACACACACACACACACACACACACACACA